rnacentral:misc_RNA from 1 species
AUUUUUCCUUCCAGAAAAAAAGAUGGCGGAUCCCAUAUGAUUAACACGUGAAAUUUGUAAACAUUGACAAUUUUGACUUUGUUUUAAUAUGGGUGACGAAAUAAAACAUUUGAGAGAACUUGAAACGUCAGUUUUAAGUGUUACACCGAAGAAAUGGACAGAUCAAUCGAAUGAUCAAGAUAAUAAUGAGAUAGUUAACUACAUCCUGUGUGGGGAUUAUGAUAGGAUAUUUCACCUAGCCAUUGUGAGAGCUUUACUAGACAACAGUCACCAACAACCACUUUCUCAAGCAAAAGCUGCUGUAGCAGAAAAUGUGAAAAAGGUCAUCACCCAGAAAGACAAACAAACAGUAGAAUGGUAACUUACAGUAGAAUGUGAGUUGGAAAUUCUGUGUGUGGCCAUUGCAUGUCUGCAGACCUUUGUUUGUCAAAACUGGCUUGGACCGUCAACUGGAGUAUCUGAUGAAAUCGUCAAACUUCUGUCAGGUUCCAAAGAUGUGACCCAGUGUCGUAGAGAGAUUGCUCAAGAGCUGAUGUGUGAUGGAGAGGAAGUGUACAGUCUGUGUCAGGGAAUAGAGUUCUUGUUUACAGCUCAGUGUGUUCUGGAGAGCUGUAAAUCUCACUGCCAGAACUUACAGUGGAGUGGUGGAUGCUGAGGAGUGUGUAUGUGUAUCAACAGAUUCUGGAGGAUAAGUGUGCCUCCCUCAGAGAACAGAUGCACACUCUGAUUGAUACAGUCUCCAAGAAAGAGCCAUUGAUGACAGAUGAUGCUAACAGGGAGCUAGUGGUCCAGUAUCACAUGGAGGUUGGUUACAUCUGUCACACAUUCUACGAUUACAAGUUGGCUCAUGAACACUUAAUGGCGACCAAGAAAUGUACAGGACUACAGAUCAGUUUAACUGGUGCUAUGGGAAAAAGAACAAGAUUUCAGACAGACGACAAAGCUCAGCUUCUCCUUAAAGUCACAAGGGAGGGAGGCCCAAAAGAGGAGAACUACAUCAAAACAAGGCUUCCCAAGAUUUUGAAUUUGGAUGAUGACACAGUGUUGGAUAAAAUUAGUUUGACUGAACCGGACACAGAGUUUGCAGUUGACAUGUCACCUGUGGAACAAGCCGUUGUCUUAGCAACCAUGGAGGAUCAUUUGCGGACGCAUGCCAGUCAGGAGAAGCUGACAGAGGAGGAGGCAGCAGCACACAUAGAGUGCAUCCUGUCUCAAGCCAAAUGCUGGAGUGUGACCUUGGCCUCUCUGUAUCGAAGGUCAAGUCUCGAGAAAGGAAGCAGACGGCGAGUGGAGAGAUCCAUGAUGCAAAUAGAGGAGAUCGUGAAUCAGAGGAAGUCCAGUGAUCCCCCGGCAACAGAGCGACUCUACUUGUUUUAUUCUGUUAAGAUUCCUCCCCUCUGGAAAUUGGAGAGGCAGCUGGCAGAGCUCCUAUUAAGUAUCGGGGCGAUCGGCAGCGCUGUAGAAGUAUUUGAAAGACUACAACUCUGGGAGGAUGUAAUCACGUGCUACAAAAGGCUAGGGAAAAUGGGAAAGGCCGAAUCCAUAAUUCGAGACCAACUAGCGAUACAGGAGACCCCUAACCUGUGGUGUUUCCUUGGCGACGUGACAAGAGACGUCAGUCAUUACCUGAAGGCGUGGGAGAUGUCAGGACACAGACACGCCCGGUCCCAGCGGUGUCUGGGCUACCUCUACAUGGGGCAAGAGGAGUAUGAGAAAUGCAUUGAGUGUUUCCAGAAAUCCCUCAGUAUUAACUCGCUCCAAGUUCCUGUCUGGUUUACAUUUGGUUGUGCCUGUAUGGCGGCCAAGAAGUUCCAGGAGGCUGUAAAAGCCUUCAAACGAUGUGUCAAUAUUGACACUGAUAACUUUGAGGCCUGGAAUAACAUGGCAUCAGCCUACAUACAACUCAAGGACAAGAAAAAAGCCUUCCUGACAUUAAAAGAAUCCAUAAAAUGUGGCCACGGACUGUGGUGAGUUCCAGGAGGCCAUUAAAGCCUACCACCGACUGAUUGACCUCAGGGAAAAGUGGGCGGAUAUUGAGGUUUUGAGAGUUUUAGUGAAGGGCUGUACAGGGGACUACAGGGACUCCCAGGGAAAUCCUUUUAGUCACCACAAGCAAGCUCUGAAGGAACUGUUUGGGAGGAUCACCUCAAAGGUUGUGGGCGAGAGUGAGAUCUGGAGGCUGUAUGCUGAGUUAACUAAUAGUCUACCAGGACAGACAGCGGAAACACAACAAAAGGUUUUACAGUAUCUACAGAAGUCACAGAGAUGUUUGACCCAAGAAUUACACUGGGAGAAGUCAGUGGACAAAUGUAAAAAUGUAGGGGAGCAGUCCUUGGAGCUUGCUGAUUUGUACUUGAGUUUCUGUGAUAAAAGUUUAUCCACACAAGAAUCACUCUCUCUACUGCAGUCUGCUAAAAUGAUGCUCAAAAGCACACAAGCCAAAAUCAAGAUGGCUCAUUUGGAUCCCAUGACCGAAUCUCUGCCAGAAGAACUCAAUGAGUUAGUCAACAAGAUGGAGACAAAGCAACAAGAAAUCAUCUCUUGUGUGAACAAGCUUAAACAAUAAAACUAUCAAAUC